ACGAACGCUGGCGGCGUGCUUAACACAUGCAAGUCGAACGGUAAGGCUCCAGCUUGCUGGGGUACACGAGUGGCGAACGGGUGAGUAACACGUGGGUGACCUGCCCUGCACUUCGGGAUAAGCCUGGGAAACUGGGUCUAAUACCGGAUAGGACCGCACCGUGAGGGUGUGGUGGAAAGUUUUUUCGGUGUGGGAUGGGCCCGCGGCCUAUCAGCUUGUUGGUGGGGUAAUGGCCUACCAAGGCGGCGACGGGUAGCCGGCCUGAGAGGGUGGACGGCCACAUUGGGACUGAGACACGGCCCAGACUCCUACGGGAGGCAGCAGUGGGGAAUAUUGCACAAUGGGCGGAAGCCUGAUGCAGCGACGCCGCGUGGGGGAUGACGGCCUUCGGGUUGUAAACUCCUUUCACCAUCGACGAAGGGUUUCUGACGGUAGAUGGAGAAGAAGCACCGGCUAACUACGUG
rnacentral:rRNA from 1 species